rnacentral:lncRNA from 1 species
GGGCGGGAGGUGUGAUUGCCGCAGAGCUCUGCCAGCCCGUCCGAUGGUGUGGAGCUCCAAAGCUGUGCCCGAUGGAGAUCCUCCCGGACCUUUAAGAGACCCCUGUCAUGAGCGAGUGUUCGUGACCGCACCACUUCCGCUCUGACCGCUUGCUGUGCAGAUCACAGCAGCCACAGAUGUACAGCAAAUUUUAUUCAUUUUCAUUUUAGGUGGCAGACUCAGCAC